rnacentral:antisense_RNA from 1 species
UUCAAUGGUGGCGUUGUCAGGGCAAUCUUCGGAUUGGCUGGUUUCCUUAUGUACCAGUACUGCGAACCUUGACAUCGUCACCGCCCAU